rfam:Stegodyphus mimosarum contig87776, whole genome shotgun sequence.
GCGUCGGUGGUAUAACGGUUAGCAUAGCUGCCUUCCAAGCAGUUGACCCGGGUUCGACUCCCGGCCGACGCA